rnacentral:rRNA from 1 species
AUUGAACGCUGGCGGCAGGCCUAACACAUGCAAGUCGAGCGGAUGAAGGGAGCUUGCUCCUGGAUUCAGCGGCGGACGGGUGAGUAAUGCCUAGGAAUCUGCCUGGUAGUGGGGGAUAACGUCCGGAAACGGGCGCUAAUACCGCAUACGUCCUGAGGGAGAAAGUGGGGGAUCUUCGGACCUCACGCUAUCAGAUGAGCCUAGGUCGGAUUAGCUAGUUGGUGGGGUAAAGGCCUACCAAGGCGACGAUCCGUAACUGGUCUGAGAGGAUGAUCAGUCACACUGGAACUGAGACACGGUCCUGACUCCUACGGGAGGCAGCAGUGGGGAAUAUUGGACAAUGGGCGAAAGCCUGAUCCAGCCAUGCCGCGUGUGUGAAGAAGGCCUUCGGAUUGUAAAGCACUUUAAGUUGGGAGGAAGGGCAGUAAGUUAAUACCUUGCUGUUUUGACGUUACCAACAGAAUAAGCACCGGCUAACUUCGUG